CCUGCUCUGAGAAGAUUUACCAGUGUGAAUGCUGUGUCACAUGUGUGUCAUUUAGUGGUAGAUAGGAGAUAGGCUAUGUCUAGGUCAUAGUGUUCUGUCAUAUGAACAUCUGAAUGAUUAGUAAAUAUG